UACAGGGGGUGCAAACGUUGCUCGGAAUUAUUGGGCGUAAAGCGCGCGUAGGCGGCUACUUAAGUCGGAUGUGAAAGCCCCUGGCUCAACUGGGGAAGUGCACCCGAAACUGAGUAGCUUGAGUGCAAAAGAGGGCCGCGGAAUUCCCGGUGUAGAGGUGAAAUUCGUAGAUAUCCGGAGGAACACCGGUGGCGAAGGCGGCUUCCUGGACCGAUUACUGACGCUGAGGCGCGAAAGCUAGGGGAGCAAACGGG
rnacentral:rRNA from 1 species